rnacentral:rRNA from 1 species
GACGAACGCUGGCGGCGUGCCUAAUACAUGCAAGUCGAACGAGACUUUCCUUGGUGGUAACACCUUUGAUUGUCUAGUGGCGAACGGGUGAGUAACACGUGAGAAACCUGCCCUGAAGACGGGGAUAACAGAAGGAAACUUCUGCUAAUACCCGAUACCCCCACCGGAUCGCAUGGUCUGGUGAGGAAAUGGAUUCCGCUUCAGGAGGGUCUCGCGGCCUAUCAGCUUGUUGGUGAGGUAAUGGCUUACCAAGGCUUGGACGGGUAGCUGGUCUGAGAGGACGAUCAGCCACACUGGGACUGAGACACGGCCCAGACUCCUACGGGAGGCAGCAGUGGGGAAUCUUGCGCAAUGGGCGAAAGCCUGACGCAGCAACGCCGCGUGGGGGA